rnacentral:rRNA from 1 species
AUUGAACGCUGGCGGCAGGCCUAACACAUGCAAGUCGAGCGGCCGUAGCAAUACGGCAGCGGCAGACGGGAGAGUAACACGUGGGAACGCGCCCUUCGGUUCGGGAUAACUCAGGGAAACUUGAGCUAAUACCGGAUACGCCCUUACGGGGAAAGAUUUAUUGCCGAAGGAACGGCCCGCGUCCGAUUAGCUUGUUGGUGAGGUAACGGCUCACCAAGGCGACGAUCGGUAGCUGGUCUGAGAGGAUGACCAGCCUCACUGGGACUGAGACACGGCCCAGACUCCUACGGGAGGCAGCAGUGGGGAAUAUUGGACAAUGGGCGCAAGCCUGAUCCAGCCAUGCCGCGUGGGUGAUGAAGGCCCUAGGGUUGUAAAGCCCUUUCAGCGGGGAAGAUAAUGACGGUACCCGCAGAAGAAGCCCCGGCUAACUUCGUGCCAGCCGCCGCCGUAA